rnacentral:tRNA from 1 species
GUUUUAAUAAUUUAAUAAAAAUAUUGGUCUUGUAAGCCAAAUUUAAGUCCUUACUUUUAAAACU